CUACGUGCCAGCAGCCGCGGUAAUACGGAGGAUGCGAGCGUUAUCCGGAUUUAUUGGGUUUAAAGGGUGCGUAGGCGGCCUGUUAAGUCAGCGGUGAAAUCUAGGAGCUUAACUCCUAAAUUGCCAUUGAUACUGGCGGGCUUGAGUGUAGAUGAGGUAGGCGGAAUGCGUGGUGUAGCGGUGGAAUGCAUAGAUAUCACGCAGAACUCCGAUUGCGAAGGCAGCUUACUAAGGUACAACUGACGCUGAAGCACGAAAGCGUGGGUAUCAAACAGGAUUAGAUACCCUGGUAGUCCACGCUGUAAACGAUGAUAACUGGGCGUAUGCGAUAUACGGUAUGCUCCUAAGCGAAAGCGUUAAGUUAUCCACCUGGGGAGUACGCCGGCAACGGUGAAACUCAAAGGAAUUGACGGGGGCCCGCACAAGCGGAGGAACAUGUGGUUUAAUUCGAUGAUACGCGAGGAACCUUACCCGGGAUUGAA
rnacentral:rRNA from 1 species